UACAGAGGUCCCAAGCGUUGUUCGGAUUCAUUGGGCGUAAAGGGUGCGUAGGCGGCGCGGUAAGUCGGGUGUGAAAUCUCGGGGCUUAACUCCGAGACUGCAUUCGAUACUGCCGUGCUUGAGGACUGGAGAGGAGACUGGAAUUUACGGUGUAGCGGUGAAAUGCGUAGAUAUCGUAAGGAAGACCAGUGGCGAAGGCGGGUCUCUGGACAGUUCCUGACGCUGAGGCACGAAGGCCAGGGGAGCAAACGGG
rnacentral:rRNA from 1 species